rnacentral:rRNA from 1 species
AGUCUGGCAGAGGUAGAGCUACCGAUAGGACUAGGGGGAGUCAAAUCCUACCAAAUCCUGACGAACUCCGAAUGCUGUCAGAUAUACUCUGCAGUGAGGGUUUGGGUGCUAAGGUCCAAAUCCGAGAGGGAAAGAACCCAGAACUACAGCUAAGGUCCCAAAAUCUGUGUUAAGUUGAACUAAGGCGGUCCAGUUGCAGAGACAGCCAGGAUGUUGGCUUGGAAGCAGCCAUUCAUUUAAAGAGUGCGUAACAGCUCA